CAGCUGUCAGCACCACUCAUUUUGCUUAGAAGUACACUCUGGAAUCAAAGUUUUGUCUCAAGCCUAGGAAAAUUAGCUCUGAAACUAUGCAUAUACAGACCAACAACAACUUGAGAAACUCCACCGGGCCUCAGUUAUUCCGCUAGAAGCGUACAGGCACAAUAUUAGCAGAGGAGGAAUUCUGACUAAUGAUGUGCCACAUUCUAUCAGUGUCUGGCUGACUACGCUGCGUACACAGAGUGCUGUACAUGAGCUGCAGGGUGCGAUUCUACCUCAGAACAGCCCUUGAGAACAGCGUGUCCUGCAGCCAUCAUCAGCAGAUGUUGUAUGAGCAAUCUUGAAUGGCAGCUGAUUACAUGCCUAGUAGGAAACUGAACUGCAAGACAACAUUUCCCAUAUUCUUCCAGAAUCAAGGACUUGUGAGGACUCAUUGCUAUCUCAACAGGAACAUCCUCAAACUUUCAGGCUCUUGGGGUUUCCAAGUCCUAGACACUUUGCCACUGAAUGUAUAAUCCCAAGUGAACAGCAAUAAUCUCAGACGUGGCUACAUUGCCGCACUCCAAUAGGAGGCUGAGAGUACAAACUAGUAUUUUUAAAGAUUUUAGCCGCAGUUUACAAAUUUGCCUGCUAGUCCUCUUCCACCUGACAAAGAACACAUUUCUGUGCACUGCUUUUGCUGCAUGCCACUGUGCCCAAGGCUCGAACUGAGAAGCGUUUCACUUCUAGAAAUCUCCCUGCAAACAAAAGAUUGGUCACUCCCAGCAGUGGCUCACCUAAGAGUGCAGCUGCGAUCUGAUCUUUAUGUGCCAUAAGCACUCCUGAAAGAAGCCCUCGCAGCAGUUCAUAGGCUAAUCUGUUCCUCAGAAGAAAUAAGGAAUCAGAUUCUGCUGCCAAAGGCAGUAUUUCAUCUCAUUUCUAACCCUCAUGCAUCUCUGUGUCGCUUAUUGAACGUCAUACAAAAUUGUGUGGUUGAAUUAGUAGGGUUCAUAAUGUGCACCAAGUCAGGUUCUGUCACCUACUUAAUGCAAUGCCUUUGAACUACAGGAACUCAACACAUUCAGCACUUUGUGUAGCUUCUGACAGUAGCGGUUUUGAUUUUAAAACAAAAAUGCUUUGGACUGUGAAUUCAAUGAGAUCUAGUUGCUCUUCACAGUAGUUGUAGAUUAAUUGAUUUCAAUUGAAACGGAAUUACAUAACUUCUUAUGUCAGUGUAAUUAGGAGGAGAAUCUAGACUCCUAGCACAGAGCAUGACCUGAAGACACAGUACUCAGGCUGAACUUUAAGAUGCAGGGUUACAAGGUAGCACUCAUUUCCCAUCUGUCUGUCUUAGCAAGUUUUGUAAAACAGCCAAGAAAUAGAAAUAAGACUGUUUGGAGACUUCAGAAUUUCUUAUUGACCUCCACUAUCAGGAAAACUGGAUUUUGUGCUGGAAUGGAAAUUAGUGAUCCUGCCAGGUUUAUUUUAUUGAUAUUCUAUGCUUUUACAUAAUAUGUAUGUCUCUAUGGGCUUGGAAAAUUCUGGUGGCUUUUUAUUGAAAAUAGGCUCUGUAUUAAAUCUACAAAGACAUAUGCUGUUGCCUGCACUUGGAAAGACAUUUUGUUGAGUAUAUUUUUAGUUUCAGAACUGUGUUGUGAAAAUCCUGAGUUACAGAGAGAUGAAUUACACAUGGGAUUACUAAAGCUGUGUGGUUUGGAAACAGCAUGGGUUUCUCUCAUUACCUGAGCUAUAAGUUACUCCAGGAGUCUGGGCACAGGUUUGCCCAGAGAUGCUAAGCAAGCUGGAUACAGUGCAAAAGUGACACCAGUGUGCCGUAGGAAUAGAAUUUACUUCUAGCAGAAGUUUAUAUCAAAGAACGAGAAGUAGAGCAGAGUGACAAUUUCUCUUUCAGUUUUGAUGUUUGCCGUGUCAGGUAAUUUUAAAUGUUUUGUCCCUCUUGAUAAGGAACAUUAAAUUUUCAUUCUUUAUCAGAUCUUUCCUU